GAUGAACGCUAGCUACAGGCUUAACACAUGCAAGUCGAGGGGUAACGAGAGGGAAGCUUGCUUUCCUUGUCGACGGCCGGCGCACGGGUGAGUAACGCGUAUCCAACCUGCCCCCAACUAGGGAAUAACCUUGCGAAAGUAAGACUAAUACCCUAUAAUUUCCUCAGAUGUCAUCUGACGAGGAAUAAAGAUUUAUCGGUUGUGGAUGGGGAUGCGUCUGAUUAGCUUGUUGGCGGGGUAACGGCCCACCAAGGCAACGAUCAGUAGGGGUUCUGAGAGGAAGGUCCCCCACAUUGGAACUGAGACACGGUCCAAACUCCUACGGGAGGCAGCAGUGAGGAAUAUUGGUCAAUGGGCGGAAGCCUGAACCAGCCAAGUAGCGUGCAGGAUGACGGCCCUAUGGGUUGUAAACUGCUUUUAUACAGGAAUAAAGUUAGCCACGUGUGGUUAUUUGUAGGUACUGUAUGAAUAAGGACCGGCUAAUUCCGUGCCAGCAGCCGCCGUAAAAC
rnacentral:rRNA from 1 species